CCCGAUGGUGGCCGCAGAGAGGCGUAGACCCGUGCGUCGCCAUCGCCUACACCGGCGAAGCGGGGUCCACUCUAAGAGGCUGCCCCAUCCGCGGCCACCAGAUUUCUUUCCGGUGAGUUAUCGGAGCCACUUGCUUAGUCACUAUCCGUGUUGAUAAGCUGCGUAGGUUACCUCACGCAAGGUCGACGAAUUCUGCGUGCUCCUUCUUAUGGGAUUCUUCUGGGUGUGCCUCAUUGAAGCAUCUAUAGCAGUACACCUUACCUACCACCUUAACAACAGGAGCAUAUGUUGGUGAUAAGGAAAGAGAAGGUGGUGAAAAGCUGGUUGCUCCCUCGCCGUGCAUUGUAAAAAUGGCAAACAACAUGGUGAAGACCAGCCAUAGGUGACCCUUUGGCUGGCCUGUCAUGCUCAUUUUCAUGGCUAGUAGAUAGUGCUUUGUCAAGGAUGAUGAGGAGAGGAUGUGGAUGAUGGCUUUGAUAUGGAUGGCUAUUUAUAAUGGCCAUGGUCGCAGGGUUUGAGGGAAGGAGGUUGAGCAGGUAGGGGAUGGGAUUUCCUGGUGUGUCCACUUCGAAGGAACAUGCUAUGGCAAGCUACUAUAUUGAAUGAAAUAGGCCAAGAUGUCCUAGUCAUCUUCUUCUACUCCAAAACUGUAAUUGUGAGAACAUGGAAAAGUUAGUUGUGAUGUCAAUUCGUUAGGCACCUAAUUUCCCAUUUUACGAAAUGUUGGCAGUAAUGUAACAGAAGCAAUUCUGGAAAACAUGUACCGUGUGGCCUAGUCAUCGUUUACAAUAUGCUGCCCUUUUCCUCACAAUGGAAUCUUUUCCUGUCAGCUGAAUGCACAGUUCCUGCAGUUUCAGGGCCUGCCCAUAUAAAAUCUGCAAAGGACCUUUGGAUCUACAGUAACAGUCGAUUUCACUGUCUGUUUAUAGUUUCUAAUCAUAUUCUAGUGAUCAACAUUUAUGUCUGCAGAUUCAUCCAAUCCAGCUGGGAAAUUACCUGGAAUAUACUGCAGACGGGAAAAAUUAACUGCCUCAUUUUUAUCCUGCCAAAGGUAGGAAGUUCAUUUGGUGAGGAAAAGAAGCAGUUGGCAUUUGGAUUUGGUUUCGUUGGUGGCAGCCAGUUCAGCCUGACUGCACUGAUAAGCUCUUGGGCUAGUGUGAUGUAGCAGGCACUUCUAGGGCCCUUCACGGCUACUGGAUCACUCCAGUGCUUCAGGUACUAGGCUCUCGGCCCAAUUUGUAAGAUGCCUUGAACUUUGCCAAUGCCCGUAAGAAACAAGAGAGGAAAUCAAUUGCACAACAAGAUUCAGCCCGAUCUAAAGAAAAGGAUUCGACCUGUGUAGAGUUCCAAAUAUUCCAAAUAACAAGAGCAUUCAUGGAAACUAACACAUGACUGGAGAUAAUGAAAUAUUUGCUUGAUUUCCCCGCUUAAUUUGAUCAUAUGAAUGGAAAUACUAGACAAGAUGUAAUUUGGUUUUCA